rnacentral:snoRNA from 1 species
CUGGCCCUGAAUCAAGGCUGGCAGUUUUCUGAAGUUGUCAGUCUCAAGUAGGAGCCUAAAGUGGUAUCUUCUUAUGGUCUGUUGGCUGUUUCAGAACUUUAGAGAUGGAAUGGUCAAUUCAUUGGAAAGAAACAGCU